GUCCAGAUCGUCUAGUGGUUAGGACAUUGCGUUGUGGCCGCAAUAACCCAGGUUCGAAUCUUGGUCUGGACA
rnacentral:tRNA from 1 species